rnacentral:rRNA from 1 species
AUGAGGAAUAUUGGACAAUGGGCGCAAGCCUGAUCCAGCCAUGCCGCGUGCAGGAAGACGCAUCUAUGGUGUGUAAACUGCUUUUGUACGGGAAGAAACACUCCCUCGUGAGGGAGCUUGACGGUACCGUAAGAAUAAGGAUCGGCUAACUCCGUUCCAGCAGCCGCGGUAAUACGGAGGAUCCAAGCGUUAUCCGGAAUCAUUGGGUUUAAAGGGUCCGUAGGCGGUUUAAUAAGUCAGUGGUGAAAGCCCAUCGCUCAACGAUGGAACGGCCAUUGAUACUGUUAGACUUGAAUUACAAGGAAGUAACUAGAAUAUGUAGUGUAGCGGUGAAAUGCUUAGAUAUUACAUGGAAUACCAAUUGCGAAGGCAGGUUACUACUUGUGGAUUGACGCUGAUGGACGAAAGCGUGGGGAGCGAACAGGAUUAGAAACCCCUGUAGUCC